UAUGGCCAUAUCACAUUGAAACACCAGUUCUCAUAUGAUCACCAAAGUUAAGCAACAUUGAACCUGGUCUGCACCUAGAUGGGUGACUGCUUGGUAAUAUUAGAUGCUGUAAG